rnacentral:rRNA from 1 species
UACGGAGGGUGCAAGCGUUAAUCGGAAUUACUGGGCGUAAAGCGUGCGUAGGUGGUUCGUUAAGUCCGUUGUGAAAGCCCCGAGCUCAACUUGGGAAUUGCAGUGGAUACUGGCGAGCUGGAGUGCGGUAGAGGAAGGUGGAAUUCCCGGUGUAGCGGUGAAAUGCAUAGAGAUCGGGAGGAACACCAGUGGCGAAGGCGGCCUUCUGGACCAACACUGACACUGAUGAGCGAAAGCCAGGGGAGCAAACGGG